AUUGAACGCUGGCGGAAUGCUUUACACAUGCAAGUCGAGCGGCAGCGCGGGGGCAACCCUGGCGGCGAGCGGCGAACGGGUGAGUAACAUAUCGGAACGUACCCCGUCGUGGGGGAUAACACAGCGAAAGCUGUGCUAAUACCGCAUACGACCUGAGGGUGAAAGCGGGGGAUCGCAAGACCUCGCGCGAUGGGAGCGGCCGAUAUCGGAUUAGCUUGUUGGUGAGGUAAAGGCUCACCAAGGCGACGAUCCGUAGCUGGUAUGAGAGGACGACCAGCCACACUGGAACUGAGACACGGUCCAGACUCCUACGGGAGGCAGCAGUGGGGAAUAUUGGACAAUGGGCGCAAGCCUGAUCCAGCAAUGCCGCGUGUGUGAAGAAGGCCUGCGGGUUGUAAAGCACUUUCAGGGGGGAAGAAAGGGUCGGGGUUAAUACCCCGUGGCUUCUGACGUUACCCCCAGAAGAAGCACCGGCUAACUCCGUGCCAGCAGCCGCGGUAAU
rnacentral:rRNA from 1 species